UCUGCUUGCCUGUAUAUAUGGAUCAUUAUACUGACUUAUUUCAAUGAAUUACUUUCUAGAAUAUCCCUGAAUGAUAAUGUUAAUGUGUGUUAAAGAAACAAACAAAAUAUCACACAACAUUAUUCAUUUAACAUGUGCAAGCGUCCCUAUCCCUAAUAAUGUGUCUGAAGUCUUCUGCCUUUUCUCUGUAAAAAAGAGCCUUAUAUAAACAUGUUCAAUAAGAUCUAUGAUUCAUAACCUCACCCUCAUGAUUAUGUCUGGACUUGCAGUGUAGUUUCAGAGCCAUAUAAAGAGCAUUCUGUCUAGAUGUCAAGGUAACAGGUGCUGUGGUGUUGCUGGUGAAGACUCUGGAUUUACAGGAAUAAUGAGUGCAUCCAAGCCCCAGGAAAGCGGUGAGGUGCGAAUCGAACCCUCUCUGGAUAAGAAUGAAGCAGUGUUUAUAGACGGAAGAAGAAAAUCUGUUCUACAAAGCCUGAAGAAGCUUCAGAUAGACUGCAGUCAGGUAAAGCUUCUUAUUUUAUACUUCAUAUAUCUGAGAUGACCUGUGAAUGGUGCUGUGGCCGAUGAACAUCACGUCACAUCACUUUCUUAAACUAUGCCAUUCUUAGCAAGCAACCACUGAAACACUUCUUAGUCAACAAUGAUGCAUCAACAUUAAAGGAUUAGUUCACUUUCAAAUGAAAAUUGC